GCAGCACGGGGCGGCCAGGAAGACGCCUGCUGCCUCCCGACGGCCCCCACGGGACGUUCCCAAGCUCUUGUUUUCCUGCCGUCUGGACAGGCGCACACGGAAGUGUAUGAAUCUUUUUUAAAGGGUUUCGCAGUAAGUUCGUCUUCCCCUCUGCUUUCUUGAAAGCUUGCUGACCCGGUGGCCCCCGUGGGCAGGGGCCGGGCCGAGGUUUACUCUUCCACGGGCGGCCGCGUGUCCGGGCGCCUCGCAGCGUCAGGGCGGGGAGUCAGCAGACGCGGGCAGGGAAAAGCAUUGCUCAGCCGGCCCACCAGGGCAGCGCCUCCCGAAACUGGGGUAAUUCUUUAUAGAAAUGUGAACACUGAAUUUAUUUUAAAAAAAUAAUAAAAAUCAAAAAAACAUAAAAGGCAAAAAAAAGAAAGAGAGAAAAACCACAGAAAACAACUUACAUGUACAUAGGUCAUAAAGUGAGUGGAGUGGCUGCGUUUUUUUCUUUUUUUCUUUUUUUCCUUUUCCUUUGGGUUUGGUUUUUUUGUUUGUUUUUUUAUAGAAGAGAUUUGAGAUGGUACUCUAUUCUAAUAAAAAAUAAAGUUUUGUAGUGGGACCAGAAAUUACUUAUCCAAUCCUCCCCCCACCAAAUAGCCGCCCUCACCCCCACCCUGACCCGAUAUUCUGCUGGGUUGAAAGGUCCAGACCUGCUGUCAUGCUGUUUGUCAGACCACCUGGUGUUCUUCCUGCGACACGGCAGACCGCGCAGCCGUGAGCCAAGGCCCCCACCCCGCGCACCCCAGCCUCACGACGGUGCUACCUAGGAAAGUCUUCCCCCCCGCCCCACACUUGCCUGGUCAGUGGUCAGCCAAUUGGAGGAGGAUCCGACGGAGCGUGUCAAUGUGAAGUAAAAUGUCUCGGUUGUACCUGUUUGUGGUUUAGCUUUGUAUUUAAAAAACAAAAGGAAAUAAACUUGAAAAUUAUUUGUCAUCAUAAAAAUGAAACAAAAA